AUAUCAGUAGCGGAGGAAAAGAAACUAACAAGGAUUCCCUUAGUAGCGGCGAGCGAAGAGGGAAGUAGCCCAUAACCGAAUCCCGUGGCGUGACGUCAUUGGGAAAUGUGGUGUUGGGGUGGCUACUUGCUGUGCCUCUGACGUUUCUAAGUCCACGUGAAUGUGGCUCAUUGCCCAGGGAGGGUGUAAGGCCCGUAAGGACUGUCGGAGCGCGGCGCGUGGCUACUCAAGAGUCGGGUUGUUUGGGAAUGCAGCCCUAAUCGGGUGGUAAACUCCAUCCAAGGCUACAUAUAACACGAGACCGAUAGCGCACAAGUA
rnacentral:rRNA from 1 species